UACAGAGGGUGCAAGCGUUAAUCGGAAUGACUGGGCGUAAAGGGUGCGUAGGUGGUUGUUUAAGUGAGAUGUGAAAUCCCCGGGCUCAACCUGGGAACUGCAUCUGUGACUGUAUAGCUAGAGUACGGUAGAGGGGGAUGGAAUUCCGCGUGUAGCAGUGAAAUGCGUAGAUAUGCGGAGGAACACCGAUGGCGAAGGCAAUCCCCUGGACCUGUACUGACGCUCAUGCACGAAAGCGUGGGGAGCAAACAGG
rnacentral:rRNA from 1 species